CAGAGUAGGACGCUUCGCGUAAAGUGCUGUCAAGAUGGGGAGUUGUGUGACAGACGAAGGACUCUGGGAAGCAUUUCCCGGAAUCUGCGAUGAAGCAUCCGCACCCGCUGC
rnacentral:ncRNA from 1 species